rnacentral:piRNA from 1 species
UCCAUGAGUUUGGCUUUAUACAACCUUGUA